AUUAUAAAAACAUUAAAAUUAGCAAAGGUGAGAGAGUUAACCUACAAGCACACCUAGAAAGCAUAGCAAGGAGAGAAAUGGUAUAAUUGACUUGAAGUAAUAAUUUUACAUUAUUAUCAAAUAUUAUAUUGUAUAUUCUGAAAAAUCUGCCAACAGCCUAAGAAACACGGUCAAUGAUGCUCUCAGGCAGGUAAUAAGUGAUAGUGGCAAGGGAAUAGCCCUCACUACUACACAGAAAACCAGCCCAAGAACCGCCACCACUGGGACCAGACGCCCUGCCGACUACCAUAUAUCAGCCACCAUCAUCAAGUAUAAGUGGCUCCAGCAAAAGACCCCAACAUGGUCCUCAUUCAGAUCCUGGUACUGGUAGCAGUUGUAACAUUCAACGAUCUACUGGAAGAAGGUUGAAUAGAUAUUGGGAUGGUGAGGAGCCUCCUGUAUCUGUGUACCUCUUCCCAACUGUGCCCAGUGAUGCC